ACGGUUGGUGGCGCACUUCCUGAUCUUCGGGCAGUGUCACGCAUCUGCGAAAUGCAAACAGAUACCCGCCCGCUACCCAGCGGGCUUUUUUUU
rnacentral:sRNA from 1 species